rnacentral:lncRNA from 1 species
UGCAUUCAAUAUGUGCAUUAAUGUUUGCAUUCAUUCAUUUCAUCUGCUGUGCUGGCUGUGUGUUCUCUGAUUGGGGGUGGGUGAUACUUGAGGUAAAAGGCCCAAUACCCAGGCUAUGAGUGCAAUCUAGGAAACCUAAUUAAUGUUUGCAUUCAUUCAUUUCAUCUGCUGUGCUGGCUGUGUGUUCUCUGAUUGGGGGUGGGUGAUACUUGAGGUAAAAGGCCCAAUACCCAGGCUAUGAGUGCAAUCUAGGAAACCUAGGAAUAGAGUGAGUCAUGGGAAGCGGGUGGUAUGCGCCACUUAGCGGAACAUUGACGUCACGAGCAGUUUAGACCCUGGUGGGGUAUCAUCGUUGCAUACUUCAGGUGUGUGUAUGAUGGUAUUCCACGAAAGGUUAUUUAUGCUGCGUUUCUUUCGACCUUACCCUGGCCUAUAUGACACCCGUGAGUGGGGAGGGAAUGAUCAUUUUAACAGGUACAGAUGGUGACUGUUGGUGACCGGUUGGUGACUGUUGGUGAUUCAGUAUGUUCCUGUUGGUGACUCAGUUUCUCAGAUU